rnacentral:lncRNA from 1 species
CACCCGCAAAAGAUGUAAAUAUCAUAGCAUCUAAGUCCUAUGAGGAUGAUAAGGAGGCCAAGAAGUUGGAUAAGGAGAUCUGGUAUUUAGCAAAAUAUUCGGGGGGUUCCCCCCCCGCCUAUAAAAGGCAAGGUAGGAAUCAAAGUUGGAUGGACCAUGAACGCAGUAGGGAUUGUAGGGAUAGAGAGAGUGAUUAUGACCGCUAUGUGCCCCCCC